GUUUGCAGAACGCUCGUGUCUGUGCAUCAACAUUGAAAAUCCCACUAUGUACUUAGCAGGAAUAGAAGAGCAGUGGCGAAAGCUAUUACUAAUCACGUUCCUUCUGAGGUGGAUAAGCUACCAGUUCACUACCUUGGCCUACCUCUAUUUACUAAUAAAAUGAUGGCGGCGGACUCUGCGCCUCUAGUCGAGAAAAUAAGAAUGCAGAUCUUCUCUUGAAAGAACAUAUUCUUAUCUUUCACGGGUAGAGCUCUUAAAAUCAGUAAUCAUGAGUAUAGUGAACUUUUGUAUAUCAGCCUAUCGACUCCAGUGGCGGAUCCAAACCAAUUAUUUGACGGGGCACAUAAUUAAUACACAUAUUAAAUAAUAUUAAACUAAUUCAUAUAAAGUAAAUAACAACAUAUUUUAAAAAUGGUUGUUUUAUUAAUCAUUAAAAUAAUCAAAAUUGCAAGAAAAUAAUAAACUUUAAUUUUGUUCAACUCAGAACAGAUUUUCUAAAACUAUUUUUUUUCUUACAAAUGCAACUAAUCACAAUAACAUACUGUUACAAUUAAAAUUAAUUUGACUGUAUGUAAAAAUUACACUUCAAGUUUACACAUAUAUAGCAGUAAUCAAUAUCAUACAUAACUUGUUUAUAGUCAUCAUAUCAUAAGGGAGUAAACUCUAAAAUAUUAAACAAAAUUAAAUGGAUUAAUUAGUUUUUUAUUUUUUUACUAGCAAUUGCUACUGUCCUAUUAAAAGAUGAUUCAAAAAAUGUGCUAAAAAGUUGAAAUCUAACAAUGAAAUAUAUAUUAUAUAAUAGAAAACUAUGAAAAAAAACAAAUAACGAAAGAAAUGAAAAGAAAUGCUAACAGAAAAAAAAAUUAAAAAUAAGACAAAAAUUAGGACAAGUCUCACAUUCAUUGUACAAGAGGUAAAAGUAAACCAGGGAGAAAAAAACAACGCGAUUGGCUUCUAACACUGUAACACCUUAACGUAACCGGAGGCAUCUAUACCGAUUGUUCCACGAUAAUCAAUAGUGACAUUGCUAACUGAUUAAGAUUUAUAAAGUAGUCGGGGCAUGUGCCCCCGUUCGUUGUACCGUAGAUCCGCUCCUGAUCGACUCCCAAACAAAUUUUUGAAAUUUGCAGAUUCUACACAUCGAUUUAGACGAUGUCAACUAUAUUUAACAGACGUAAAAACAAUGUUAGUGUUUAACUAAGCAUGUGGUUAAACUAUGAAAAAAAUUCUUUAAAAAUCCUCCCAAUAGAUUAUAGUGUAAAUAUUACGCUUCCUUAGUGUAAUUCAUAACACUAAACUUAUUUAUCAUAGUAUAAAGGGUCGACGACCUAUUUCCACACCAUAACUAUCAUAUAGUAACAGAUCCACACAAACUUUCAACCUCGUCAUAAUUAGACACAAUUGAACUAUCUCAACCUAUUUCCACCCAAUUUUAAAGAUCGAAACUCGUUUCCACACAAAAUUAAGAAAUGAUCUAAAAUCCACACAAAACGGUUUACUGUUGGUUAAUUAGGCUUUGAAUAAAACGUUAACCAAUAGUUAACCUAAUUAUACCAAAAUGACCCGAUUAGAAAGGGUAAACCGAUAUAAAGGAUCAGUUAACCCAAAUUUCGAAUUAAACCCUCUAACCCGACCCGGAAACCCUAGAAUUAAAAAAAAAAAUCCCAAAUCAUGUAUGUCGUUGUCUCUCUCGCGACGAAAAGAAGCGCCAUUGAAACAGAAGAUUAAGCCACGCCAUCCCUACUCCGGUUGGUUCCAGCCGUCGAAACUGAAGAAACAAGAAAUUAAGAAUGGAAUCUUGUGUUGAUGUGCCUGUUGAUUGGCAUGAAGUUCCUGAAUUAGAGUCAGAGAGUCCCGAAGUUGAAGUUCCUGAAUUCCGGUCAGAGAGUCCCGAUGUUGAAGCUCCUGAUGUUGACUCUGAUGGUGAAAAUAGAAGAGAGCGCAAUGACUAUGAAAUUGAGAAAGAAGUAAUGACUUGGGUUGAUGAACCUCGAGUGAAGCAUAAUUUCUAACUUCAUUUCAAACUCUGCAAACUUCUUUCUCUCUUCUUAUGCACGCUCAUGAACAAUUGUCUGCUCAAGUCUGCCUAAUUGAAUUUUCAAUGCUUCUGCCUCAUCAACCAACGCCUCAUCAACCCAUUUGUAUGUGUGAUUAUCGUUACUCAGCUACAAACAAAGACAUAAGGUCUGUCACUUUAUACUUUUUGAUUCUAUUAACCCACACAUGAACAAGAACAAUGGCGUUCAUAUAAAGGGUAAACUAACCCUUUUCUCAGCCGCAAAUGCACAUCGAUAGUAUCUCCUGUAAGGAUUUGCUGUAGACUUGGACAUCAACGACACCACCAAUUCCCCACACCAACAUCUCUUUGGCACACCAACGACCCUACCUCUUGCUCGACCGGCAGAGGUUCCACUCGAAUUUCCAGAUUCGUUACUCAUCUUUUAUGGGUUUUUCACUCUGUUUUGUUCUUUUUUUUUUUGAUUCUAGGGUUCCAAAAGGGAAAAUCGAUGUGGAGAAGACUAAUAGUGGUUCGGGUCGGAUACUAUUCGAUUUUAAGUUGGAUCUUCGUCUGGAUCGCGUCGUACCAAUAUCAACCGAUACCAUCAGGUUUAAUAUCGGUUAACGUUAUAAACCAUCAAAACCAACCUCAAUCUUCGUUUGUGUGGAAACGAGUAUGAUCUUUAAAAUUGGGUGGAAAUAGGUUGAGAUAGUUUAAUUGUGUCUAAUUAUGACGAGGUUGAAAGUUUGUGUGGAUCUGUUACUAUAUGAUAGUUAUGGUGUGGAAAUAGGUCGUCGACCCAACAUCUUUAUAUAUACUAGGGGUUGGUCCGCCCUACGGGCGGAUGAAUUUACACUAAAACUAUUUUAUAUUUAAAAUAUAUUUUAAUUUUAUAUAUAAUUUUAAAUUUACUUUAUAUUGAAAUAAUUAAAUAUAAUCUUUUUAUUCUGAGAUUAUAUUGUAAAUUUUGUUAAAUUUAAUUGGUUUGAAUUGAAAAAACCACUAAUAUAUUUAUUAGAGAACAAAAAGUAUUAAAUUAGAAAAUAGAAUAAUUUAUAUUUCUCCAUUUGAUUUGUGUUUCAAUUUGAUAUAACUGAAGAAAAUUUAAAGUAAGAAUGAGUAAUAUUUUUUAUUUUAAGAGUAUCUGAUUCUAAUAUUAUUAUAACAACUAAUUUCUUACGUUAAUAAAUUAAUACACCUACCUCUAAGCUAAAUCCAUUGAAACUUAAAUGUAAUUUGAUGAAAUUAUAAAAAGUUAUAUUUUAAAAUAAUAUGUAUAAAUUGUUUCAAUAAUGUCUUAGUAUAUAUUAUGUAACAAAAAAUGAUGUUCUUUUAAUAUAUGUUUGUUUCAGUUUAUAUUAUAUUUUCAAUUUAUAAUGAAAUUUUAAAUUUUCAAACGUCAAAUUUAAGGAUUAGAGAAAGUGAUGCAAGAAAAUAUUACUUAUAAUUUGUUUUAUUUACUAUAAGUCACAAACAGUUUUUGGAAAGUGUCAACAAAUGUAUGUUCGAUCUUAAAGAACAACCCAAAUGUAAUUCUAUAUAUGCUCGUAUUAUAAAGCACGAUACUUUAUGCAUUAUGGUUUUAUUUCGUUGAUAAAUUUGGUUAACCUUUAAUCAGAUAUUUGUGCCUCAGUUGGUUUGGAAUUUACAUGAUUUUAUAAAUUUUGGAAUAAGGUUAUUAACCUAAAAGGAUAAUUAAAGUUUAAGCUGCAUAAAUAGUGAUAAUAUCCAAUCCAAGAAAGCGGUAAGAGUUAUAAUCUAUAAUAAUAAGGCCAAGUUGAAAUCUUAAAGAAAAGGAACAAAUUGCAUUUAUAGCUUAAACAUCCACCGAAACAAAGAGAUUAAAUUAAAAAUGUAAAAGAUAUUAGAGAGUUCAAAUUAUUAGGGAAAACUAUGAUAAAGCAUUAUUUGAUAAGCAAAGCGGUGGGAAAUUGUUUAAUCCAAGUUGGUCUACUCCUGACGUGCCUUCUUCUUCAUGCUCUCACCGUUUGAUGGUGCCACAUCUUUUGCCAACUCUGCAACAUCUCCAUUGCCAUCGGGUCCAUGGUCAUCCCUCUCGUGCUCAGUUAUUAUGCAUGAUACAGUGAAGGUUUGCUGUUAGGAAGUGAAGUUGAACUCGCCCAACUUGAGCUGGAAAGUGAAGUUGAAAUCGCCCAACUUAAGCUGGAAACUGAAGGCUUUACCAACUAUUUGAUCCAAAAAUAUAUUUGAGCUUUCUUUCUUAAGCAAUCAAAUCUUUUGAGAUAGCUUAUCUUAGUGGUCAAGGGCUGCUAAUACAGUGUGUAAAUUAAUUCAGUACUCCGUUCUCCCACUCGACAAUUACAAUAUUUUAAACUGAUGCACUUCUCUCAUAAUACAAAGUGUAUUUUCCCCAUGUUUAUGUCUUUUAUCAUCCUUAUUUACGAUAGCAAGUUGUUACUUGUUAGCAUCCCAUGUGUAAAAUGUAUGAAGUUGGAAAUGCCACCGAGAAGCCGCAGAGGAGCCUGAAAUGGAACGAAACAGACGUUUCUAUAGAUGUGACACAAAGAGGAAGAAGUGGCGAAGCUCCCCUUCUUUGAAAAUCUGAAUCAAAAUCAAAUCCCCAGCCAUUAAAAGCAAUGUGAGAAUGCUGAAAAUGUAAAGCACGAAACUGAUGGUUGUCAAUUUAAUCAAGUUUUUAGUUCUUUAUUUAUGGACAGCAAGAGUUUUCCAACCCAGGUACACAAACAUACAUCUCUGAACAAACAACAACACAAUCUAAUCAGCUUAAAAAACGGCUUGUGAUUAUAGUUUUGUUGUAUGUGCUUAUCAAAGUUAUAAAAGAUAGUAGGACUUACAUUUUUCUCCAUCAACUUCAGAAAUAAUUUCAUUAAGGUCUCUUCCACCAUUAAUGUCCCUCAGGGACUGCUCCAGGGCUUCCAUUGUGAUAUAUCUGGAAACGGAGACCAUGAUUUGUUGAACUGGUUUUACCUAUAAUAAAUUGUUAUGUGAUAAUUACUGUACUUACCCACUGUUGUCUUUUUCAAAGCGUUGGAAGGCUGAGAAUAUUCUUUAUAGAACUCCCUACUUGCAAGAGUACCAGACGUAGCGUUUUGCUUGGCCAUUGGUGGUGCUUUUGAUCCGCCUAGCAUGUCCUCGUUCUUAUUUAUUCUUUCACUUUAACUAU